rnacentral:lncRNA from 1 species
GAAUCAAUGGGCCACUUGACCGAUUCACUGCGUAACGUGUAACCUGUGAUUUUACGGCUGCGGCCCCGUCACGAGAGGCGGCUUCCGGCAGAGCGCCCAAACCCUCUUCCCUGCAAGACCCUCUCAAGUCAUGCGCCUGCCCGGUACGGUCUCAGGAGAAAACUCCGUGCCGCCUAGGCCACACGGCGGAGAGGACCUCCGGCCGCUUCCGCCAACGGGCCCCUUGCAGGGGCUGCCGGCGGCCCUCACCCCUCCACCUGGAGGUGCAGCUGGUGAGUCAGCUGACCAGGAAACACCUUUGAGGGCGAGGUGUUUGAAGUGCAGUUAAUUCAUGUCACCACAGGGUCCUGAGUUAUUCAGGUGACCUUGGGUGAGGCGGUCAACCCCGCUGGCCUCAGUCUUCAUCCGGAACCGGCAGGCUGCGGGGCGGCCUCUGUGCCCUGACGCCCGUCCGGUCCACCCAGGCUCCCGACGCCCACGGCACAGCCCGGAACCACAGUAAACCAUUCCGAACGUGCCGACGUUGCCAAAAGGCUAAUCUGUAUCCUCAGGUAGGGAAUAAUUAUAAUCUUCAGUGAACAAGAAAACGACCUAAAAUUAACAAAUUCGGGCAAAUUCCCUUGAUGACAAAACACAGAAUAUAAUUCAGACGCGGUUUUCUAUGGCUGCAAAAUGGUGCGUUAGCGCAGGACUCCGAGGGGCGGCGGAGAUCUCUCAUGGCGGACGGUGUGCGUGCUGGAGGGUCGCCCCGUGCCACAGCCGGGCCCUCGCCAGCCUGCUGACGGCGCCCAGCUGGAAGGUUCUUCAUACUGAACGAUAUGGGACUUCCUUGUGAGGAAGGACCAACGUCCCCAGAUCUUGCUCCUCACGCUCACCCAGAACUUCUGUCUUCCUGGAGCCUAUGAGCUGUUCCUGAGCCCGCCGCCCUGGGCACCUGCUGAUGCCAUUCCACGUGCCCAGUGUCCUCCGAGCUCCCGGAUGCGCCACUCGAGGCCGUGAACGCGCCGUUCUCAUUAUUUGCCGUCACUGCGUAUCUUGCGGGCGGACGGCAGGUCCUGGAAAGGUUCAGCUUCCAGAAUCGCGCAAGCCGAUUCCUACAAUCAACCCGCCGCUCUGUCCCCGGAGGACUGAAGACCACUGCGCUCCGGGGCAAAUCCAGCCGGAACGGGGGUCCAAUGAAGGACCCAGCCCUCUGCCUGCAGGGCACAUGGGACACGGGGCCACUCGCUCUGCCCCUGGAGGCGCCUCCAGGGCUGGGGGGUGCACUCCCCAGAGAAACCCAGAGUCCCCACUGCCAUCGAUGGCUGUCCCGGAGCCGGCUGGCUGCCGGGACUCAGAAGUGGGGGGAGGGCACAGCCUCUGGAUUUUAUCGCUCUGCCUGGGUCAGCUAUUUCAUUAAAAAUCAGAGUUCC